rnacentral:rRNA from 1 species
UACGUAGGGUGCAAGCGUUAAUCGGAAUUACUGGGCGUAAAGCGUGCGCAGGCGGUUGUGCAAGACCGCUGUGAAAUCCCCGGGCUUAACCUGGGAAUGGCAUUGGUGACUGCACGGCUAGAGUGUGUCAGAGGGGGGUAGAAUUCCACGUGUAGCAGUGAAAUGCGUAGAUAUCAAGAGGAACACCUGAGGUGAAGACGGGUUGCUGGGCUGACACUGACGCUGAUGCGCGAAAGCUAGGGGAGCAAACGGG